CCCAUGAAGAGCUUUUAAUAUAUGCAGAUUCAACAGUGGGGCUUGAAUCAUUUCUGAGGUGCAUUCUGACACCUGGCCACAGGUCCUGUUGCUGUCCAUACCCUGCUGGUCAGAACCACCGAGCCCUCUGCUCGUUACAUCCCCUUGCCUCCCCUCCGCUGCCACCCAGUUCUAGCUGCAUGGAUAGUUUGAAUUUGGCUCCUGUGUGGCAGCAGAGGGACACUGCAGGUGUGGAAAAGAGAUAUUCAAGGAGAACUCCAGCUGAGGAUGUUGGCUGGAUGCAGCCAGAAGAUAGCAAAGGCUGAAAUAAACAAAGACCAGCAACAGAGAGCAGGCACAGGCUGUUUACUCAUUACUUAUAGCAUGGGAGGCAGUAGCAGUCAGUGGUGUUUGGCAGAGACUGAAGGGAGGCAGAGGAUCAGGGAAGCUUCACAGUGGCAAAGUGGGAGGCUGCAGGUGUGCCCUGAGUGGAGGCUGCUGGCUGGGGGAAGCUGCAGGUGGGGUUCACUAGAAGCCAGGAAUCCCAUGUGAUUGGUUAGGGGAGCGAACGUGGCUUUCUCUGGCAGGUCCUAAGGUGCACUCCAGCAACCAGGACGUAGAGGAACAUACUCAUCCCGUCUGAGCCCCACAUCUCCUGGCUGUGAAAUCCAUGGCUUCUUCUCAGGAGGAGAACCUCUAGGCUGGAGGAGAAAACAUCAAGGUCCAAAAUUAAUGGAAGCCAGAGGCCUUCCCAAGCAAGUCCUAAAGUUGUGAAGCUGAUUGGUGGAAGACGAGUGCCCGUGGGGCCACUGUCCCAUAGUACCUGGGUGGCACUGGAUUCAUCCUCAACUUCACCCCAGAGAUGGGGCUAGACAAGCAAGGCAGAUACAGCUCCACAAAGAGUGAGCUCAGAACUCAACUGGAUUUAGGUCUACAGACUCAGCCCGCAGGAAUCUGUGCAACACUUUUCAGGUGACUGAUUAAGGUAAGGCUGAUUCCACUUAACAGUACUGAUGAGUAUUGC
rnacentral:lncRNA from 10 species